GACGAACGCUGGCGGCGUGCCUAAUACAUGCAAGUAGAACGCUGAAGGAGGAGCUUGCUUCUCCGGAUGAGUUGCGAACGGGUGAGUAACGCGUAGGUAACCUGCCUGGUAGCGGGGGAUAACUAUUGGAAACGAUAGCUAAUACCGCAUAAGAGUAGAUGUUGCAUGACAUUUGCUUAAAAGGUGCAAUUGCAUCACUACCAGAUGGACCUGCGUUGUAUUAGCUAGUUGGUGGGGUAACGGCUCACCAAGGCGACGAUACAUAGCCGACCUGAGAGGGUGAUCGGCCACACUGGGACUGAGACACGGCCCAGACUCCUACGGGAGGCAGCAGUAGGGAAUCUUCGGCAAUGGACGGAAGUCUGACCGAGCAACGCCGCGUGAGUGAAGAAGGUUUUCGGAUCGUAAAGCUCUGUUGUAAGAGAAGAACGAGUGUGAGAGUGGAAAGUUCACACUGUGACGGUAUCUUACCAGAAAGGGACGGCUAACUACGUGCCAGCAGCCGCGGUAAUACGUAGGUCCCGAGCGUUGUCCGGAUUUAUUGGGCGUAAAGCGAGCGCAGGCGGUUAGAUAAGUCUGAAGUAAAAGGCUGUGGCUUAACCAUAGUACGCUUUGGAAACUGUUUAACUUGAGUGCAAGAGGGGAGAGUGGAAUUCCAUGUGUAGCGGUGAAAUGCGUAGAUAUAUGGAGGAACACCGGUGGCGAAAGCGGCUCUCUGGCUUGUAACUGACGCUGAGGCUCGAAAGCGUGGGGAGCAAACAGGAUUAGAUACCCUAGUAGUCCAAGGGCGAAUUCCACAGUGGAUAUCAAGCUUAUCGAUACCGUCGACCUCGAGGGGGGGCCCGGUACCNANNNUUUNNNCCUANNNNNGNNNGGGNNNA
rnacentral:rRNA from 1 species